GCAAUGGUGGUGUAGUGGUUAGCAUAGCUGCCUUCCAAGCAGUUGACCUGGGUUUGAUUCCCAGCCAACUCAGUACC